rnacentral:tRNA from 1 species
AUCUAUAUGGCUCAGUUGAUAAGAGCUCUAGAUCUAGAAUCUAGUAAACUUGAGUUCAAAUCUAGUCGUAGAUA